UUUCCCCCUAACAGUCUCGAGGAACUCCUGAGCGUAAGCCUGGGCGAGCUGAGUCUUCAACUGGUCCAUGAGAUCCGAGGUUGACAUAUUAGACGAUCCCGAUCCAAUUGACGGUGACGAAAAAGAAUCCAUGGCUCUCGAUGGUAUGCGAUACUGUUAUUCGGUGGUAAACGGAGAGAAAAUAGGGCGAUGUAUAAACCCUAGAAUUACAAUUGCA
rnacentral:misc_RNA from 1 species